GGAACUCCGAUUCAUCAAUCGUCAAUCCGUCCAGAGAUGGUGAUAAUGACAAUAACAAGGGUGUCGAUCACAUAGUAGAAGUAGAAGGUGGCAGGGAUGAAAGUAAGAAUGAAAACGACGCAGCGGUGGCGACGGAGCUAUUUCUGGAAACCAAUGGAAGGGAAGUGGGCAGGGAUUCAGGGAAUUCUCAGAGACAAGAAGGGCAAGAGAAUGUCUCGUCUAAGAUUGGCCAGGAGAUAAGUGGCGGAGAGGUGCAGGGGAACAUCAGGCGGAGGAGGGGACCCAGGUCUAGGAGCUCACAGUACAGAGGAGUGACGUUCUACAGAAGGACCGGGAGAUGGGA
rnacentral:misc_RNA from 1 species